GGAUCAAUUUAUUGGUCGUGCUAUUGUACGUACUGGUAUUAUUGAUUCCUGCCUUCUGACGAACCAUGAUGUCAUUAAUUUGGUGUCUUGGGGAAUCAGGACUGUUACUUUGAAAAAAUUAGAGUGUUUAAAGCAGGCUCACGCUUGAAUACAUUAGCAUGGAAUAAUGAAAUAGGACGUUUGAUUCUAUUUUGUUGGUUUCUAGAGUCGCCGUA
rnacentral:rRNA from 1 species